GCUCAAACUAAUCUUUAUAUAUAGAGAGAGGGAGAACAAGCAUCCAGAGUCUAGACACAAUAGCAUUCCUUCUCUUAUGCGUUUCUCUCUUGCACGAUUAGUUCCUCCAUGGUGACAAAGUUGUAAUUUGAAAAAUAGCAUUGGUGGAUAUGAUCUUUCAUUUUCCAACUUCGUCUUAUUGACUGUCUGAGAGCAAUGAGGUCUCACUGAAAUUUGUCUACUUACUUUUGUGAUGUGGAGCAGUUGCAUUUUUUUGGAGAUUGCUUGUUGGAUGAUCUCUGGUGAAAGACAGGCUUCUCGAAUAAGAAGUCUCUAUCUAAAAGCUAUUUUGCAGCAAGAUAUUGCUUUCUAUGAUAAGGAAAGAAAUACAGAGAGGUGGUUGGGCAGAUGUCUGGUGACACUCUUCUUAUACAAGGAGCAAUAGGUGAAAAGGCUGCAUCAUUUACAGAUGAGAAGCAAGCUGCGGCCAGCUAUAACGAGUCCCUUAUUAAAGCUUACCAUUCAGGUUCAAAUGAAGGGCUGACAAAUGGAUUAGGUCUUGGGUCACUUUCUGAUAUUAUGUACUGCAGUUACACUUUGCCUAUCUGGGUCGUGAAAUGUGACACACAACUCAUAUGUAGUUGAAUUAUUUUGUCACUGCAACAAAUUUAGUUGUGCUGAUACUCAAAUUGAAAAGGUUAUUACUGCUUGACCAUUAUAAGGUUAACAUUCACGAUUCAAGGAUUAUCCAGUUGUUCUUUCAAUUCCAUAGAUGAUAUUUGUUGCCACUCUUAUACCUUUGGAAGGAAUGCCUUUGCAUUUGAACUACAAUUAGCUUCGAAGCUCAGCAAGAACUCCAUUCAGGUACAAGGUACCAUGGGCAGUAAAGUCAAGAUUUCUAGGUCGAUAUAAGCUAAAUGGAGAGCUACGACUAUUCAUCAAUUUUUCACAAAACAAUGUACAAAUCACCUAAAAAAGACCUAUCUUGAUGCUGGAGAUGAGAGUACUACAAAGAGGGAAUUGGUGGAGAGCCAAUUGGCCAAGAAGUAGAUUUCGAGUCCAUUAGGAGGUUAAUGAGUUUAUAUAUUGGCCCUUUUUUUGAAUCUGUUAAUGCUUACAUUACAUGAUUUACCAUUCAUAUAUCAUAUAUUGAGUUUAGAAGAAUGAACAAGUAACAAGAAUUUUGCUAAUCUGAGGGCAACUAGGCAGGUUAUCAUUGCCGUUUUAGCUGUAUGUUUACACUCUUACUCUUACCUCAUGCUCAGUUAUUGAAGCUUUAAGUUUCACAUAUAGUGCUUAUUAAUAUAAGCAAAGGGUAUAUGUGAAAUCCAAAGUAUAUAUGAACUUAAACAUUUCUUUGUAUAGACAAACAUGUAUGUAUCAGUAUAUUUAUCAGAUCCACAACAAAGCUGUCCAAGUAGAA